rnacentral:rRNA from 1 species
CACGUAGUUAGCCGGGGCUUCUUAGUCAGGUACCGUCAUUAUCUUCCCUGCUGAUAGAGCUUUACAUACCGAAAUACUUCUUCACUCACGCGGCGUCGCUGCAUCAGGGUUCCCCCCAUUGUGCAAUAUUCCCCACUGCUGCCUCCCGUAGGAAUCUGGGCCGUGUCUCAGUCCCAAUGUGGCCGUUCACUCUCUCAAGCCGGCUACUGAUCGUCGCCUUGGUAAGCCGUUACCUUACCAACCAGCUAAUCAGACGCGGGUCCAUCCCAUAGCGAUAAAUCUUUCAAAACAGGACCAUGCGGUCCCGCUUUCCCAUGCGGUAUUAGCAGCCGUUUCCAGCUGUUGUCCCCCUCUAUGGGGCACGGUUACCCACGCGUUACUCACCCGUCCGCCACUCAGUCAUCCCAUAUGCUUCCUUCCCCAGCAAGCUGGUUCUGUCUGCGGGUGGGAUGUCUUCGUUCGACUUGCUAUGUGGUUAGGCACGGCCGCCAGCGUUCACU